rnacentral:tRNA from 1 species
UGCCCCAUGGCUGAGUUGGUUACAGCGUCCGACUGUUACUCCAAUGACAUCGGAAGGUCGUGAGUUCGAGCCUCACUGGGGCAG